GGUUAACAAUCUAAAUAUCUCUGUGUCCCACUUCAUAGGGUUGUGUCAAGGAUCAAAUAGGGUAAUGCAUGUGAAUUCUAGAAUAAUAUACGAGUAAAAAAUCCUACACAAACUCAACUUUAGACUGGCUGGUGUCUUAUUGUGAAGUCCCCUGCCCCCAUCCCUAUGAUACCCACAUAACAUCCCCUUAUUCCCAGCUCUGGACACUUGCCUCUGCCAUUUCCACUGCUUAGAAGACCUAGGCCCAGCCAGGCACAGUGGCUCAUGCCUGUAGUCCCAGCACUUUGGGAGACCAAGGUGGGCGGAGCACCUCAGGUCAAGGAAUUCAAGACCAGCCUGGCCACCUGGUGAAACCCCAUCUCUACAAAAAUACAAAACUUAGCCAGGCAUGAUGGUUAAUCAUGUAAUCCCAGCUACUUGGGAGAUCAGUUAUGUGAACCAAUAAAUACCCUUUUUUGCUUAAGUUACUUUGAGUUGGGUUUCUAUUACUUGAAAUUGAAUCCACACUAAUAUAUCUACCAACAUUGAGACUUGACAGAUCCAAGUAUUUAUUAAGCUAGAGGUCAUGGUCACUGAAAUUACUUUGCAAAGUGGAAGACAAAAUGAAAC
rnacentral:lncRNA from 1 species